GUCGAGGGGCAGCAUAUGAGUAGCAAUACUUAUGAUGGCGACCGGCGCUCGGGUGCGUAACGCGUAUGCAACCUACCUUUUACAGGGGCAUAACACUGAGAAAUCGGUACUAAUUCCCCAUAAUAUCUGAGACGGCAUCGUUUCGGGUUGAAAACUCCGGUGGUAAAAGACGGGCAUGCGUUGUAUUAGCUGGUUGGUGAGGUAACGGCUCACCAAGGCGACGAUACAUAGGGGGACUGAGAGGUUAACCCCCCACAUUGGUACUGAGACACGGACCAAACUCCUACGGGAGGCAGCAGUGAGGAAUAUUGGUCAAUGGACGCAAGUCUGAACCAGCCAUGCCGCGUGCAGGAAGACGGCUCUAUGAGUUGUAAACUGCUUUUGUACGAGGGUAAAUGCAGGUACGUGUAUCUGUUUGAAAGUAUCGUACGAAUAAGGAUCGGCUAACUCCGUGCCAGCAGCCGCGGUAAUACGGAGGAUCCAAGCGUUAUCCGGAUUUAUUGGGUUUAAAGGGUGCGUAGGCGGUUUUAUAAGUUAGAGGUGAAAUCUCGGGGCUCAACUCCGAAAUUGCCUCUAAUACUGUAGGACUAGAGAGUAGUUGCGGUAGGCGGA
rnacentral:rRNA from 1 species